UCCUUUAUUAACUAGUUUUAUGAUGAUUUGCUAAAGAAAUCUGGUUUCUGUAAUUAUGCUAGAUGUCCAUUCAUCUGUCUGUCAACUCCUUCUCUGGGAGCCUUUGAAUCUGCUUAGUGUGACAGCAGGGCAGACGCCAGACAACUUUGCUGCUAUCAAUGCACACAAAAACGUGCCCAGCUAGCAUGCCCAUUGGAUGCUGGGUGGAUGCAGUGAGAUGCUUGGCUGGUUCCUGACUUUCAGGAUAAAUACACAAUGGGAUGAAACCGACCUUCUUCCAGAAUACUCUUCCCAGACUGCUCACAUAUGUCAGUGAAACAAAGUGGUGCAUUUACCGAGGUAAAAAGAUGAUGCGCCAGAGGGCUGUAGGACAUGUUGCCUCCUCCCAUUGGGCUGCAGGUACCUGCUGCAAGACAUGCUCAUCACUUUACCGUCCCUUUCCUUAAAUAAUAAAUGUAAUUAGUGUUGCUUUUUCCUGGCCUAC
rnacentral:lncRNA from 1 species